CCUACGGGAGGCAGCAGUAGGGAAUCUUCCGCAAUGGACGAAAGUCUGACGGAGCAACGCCGCGUGAACGAUGAAGGCCUUCGGGUCGUAAAGUUCUGUUGUUAGGGAAGAACAAGUGCUAGUUGAAUAAGCUGGCACCUUGACGGUACCUAACCAGAAAGCCACGGCUAACUACGUGCCAGCAGCCGCGGUAAUACGUAGGUGGCAAGCGUUGUCCGGAAUUAUUGGGCGUAAAGCGCGCGCAGGCGGUUUCUUAAGUCUGAUGUGAAAGCCCCCGGCUCAACCGGGGAGGGUCAUUGGAAACUGGGAAACUUGAGUGCAGAAGAGGAAAGUGGAAUUCCAAGUGUAGCGGUGAAAUGCGUAGAGAUUUGGAGGAACACCAGUGGCGAAGGCGACUUUCUGGUCUGUAACUGACGCUGAGGCGCGAAAGCGUGGGGGGCAAACAGGAUUAGAUACCCUGGUAGUCCACGCUGUAAACGAUGAGUGCUAAGUGUUAGAGGGUUUCCGCCCUUUAGUGCUGAAGUUAACGCAUUAAGCACUCCGCCUGGGGAGUACGGUCGCAAGACUGAAACUCAAAGGAAUUGACGG
rnacentral:rRNA from 1 species